CGAGUGGCGGACGGGUGAGUAAUACUUAGGAAUCUGCCCAUUAUGGGGGACGAACUAGAAGAAAUUCUAGCUAAUACCGCAUACGCCCUACGGGGGAAAGCGGGGGAUCUUCGGACCUCGCGCUAAUGGAUGAGCCUAAGUCGGAUUAGCUUGUUGGUGAGGUAAUGGCUCACCAAGGCGACGAUCCGUAGCUGGUCUGAGAGGACGAUCAGCCACACUGGGACUGAGACACGGCCCAG
rnacentral:rRNA from 1 species